rnacentral:rRNA from 1 species
UACGUAGGCAGCGAGCGUUGUUCGGAGUUACUGGGCGUAAAGGGUGUGUAGGCGGUUGUUUAAGUUUGGUGUGAAAUCUCCCGGCUCAACUGGGAGGGUGCGCCGAAUACUGAAUGACUCGAGUGCGGGAGAGGAGAGUGGAAUUCCUGGUGUAGCGGUGAAAUGCGUAGAUAUCAGGAGGAACACCGGCGGUGUAGACGGCUCUCUGGACCGUAACUGACGCUGAGGAGCGAAAGCGUGGGGAGCGAACAGG